GGAAGUACUGUAGCUCAGUGGUAUAGCAUCUGUUUGUGUGCAGAAGGUCCCAGGUUCAAUCCCUGUUGUCUCCA